rnacentral:lncRNA from 10 species
CUGGAAUUACAGGCAUGAGCCACCGUGCCUGGCCUCUUAGCUAUUGUUAUCAAAAGACUGCUAUAAAAAAAAGAAUGCACUGCUUAGAAUGGAAAAACAGGUAAAAGAUGAUUAAGAGAUAUUUAAAUGAGGCCGGGCAUAGUGGCUUAUUCCUAUAAUCCCCCAGCACUUUGGGAGGCUGAGGCAGGCAGAUCACUUGAGGUCAGGAGUUGGAGACCAGCCUGGUCAACAUGGUGAAACCCCGUCCCUACUAAAAAUACAAAAAUUAGCCAGGAGUGGUGGUGUCCACCUGUAGUCCCAGCUACUCGGGAAGCUGGGGCAGGAGAAUUGCUUGAACCCAGGAGACAGAGGCCGCAGUGAGCCAAGAUCACGACACUGCACUCCAGCCUGGGUGACAGAGCGAAACCCUGUCUCAAAAAUAAAUAAAUAAAUAUUUAAAUGAGAAGUAACACAGUUGUUUUUGAUGGAAAAGUACUGCAAAAGCAGAUUACAAGCGUAGAAUAACCUUACAGUCAUUAAAAAAAUCUAGUGAAAGAGAAACGAACACAGCCAUGUCCUAGCAUAGGGAUGAAACUAGAAAACAAAGAAUAGAAAUGCAAAACACGCGCGCAUGCGCGCACACACACACACACACACACACACACACACACACAAAAUCAGGUCACUAACAAGUUUGGUUUGUAAUAAGAGAAAUUGUCAGAGAAAUAUGCCCACAAAAAUGUAUCCGUAAGUAUGUUAAAUAUAUUAUGUUCAAAUUUAAUAAAAAACUAAGUCCUAAUAUUUAAAAGGAAAAAAAUUUAAUCAAAAAAUAAAGGAAAUGUUUUAAAACGAUCCUGGUCCAAAUGAAAGAAUUCUAUGCAUUCACAUCUAAAGAGAGGAAAAUGUUCUUGUUAAGAGCCACCUAAAAAUGUCAUCAAUAUCCGUACACACUAGAAAGAAAGAAAUAUAGCAAUAAUCCAAGUUGGUUCUGCAUAUGCUUUAAUUGUGCCAUGCCUUUUUUUUUCAAAUAUUUGAAAAUGAAUACCUAUGGCCUUUUAUAAUUUUUUUAAUACAAAGUAUACUGGAGGCAAAGAAAAUAUUCUUUGUAACCCUAAGUCAUAGAUACAUAUUUGAACUUAUUAUUUCCUUUAAAAAAAUUGACUGAAGGCCCUCAGAGAAUAUGGAGGAAAUACCAAGGAAUAAAAGAGAAAGCAUCACAUGUUCAGGUAGUGGACAUCAAUUUACAUAACACACUGACCUACAUUAAAAAUAAUAGCUUAAAAAAAGAAUGAUUUUUAAAUCAUAAAACUAUUUUAAUGUAAUUGUUUCACUUUAAUCAAGGAGGAAAAGAAUGAACAGUGAUGCCAAAGAUAUCACAUCUAGAAUAGAAAAUAUUUGUGUUAAUUUUUGGAAAACCUGUGGUAAUAUUGCUAUGGCUGCCUCAAUCCCAGUACAUUGAAGUUGCAUCUUACUACUUCAGAGUCAACAUCAAGAUUUUUAUUGCAAAAGUUAAACGAUUCUUGAUUUUAUAUGUUACUAUGACCAAGCUCAUUAGCUUAAUAAAAUGUAUAAGCAAUUAACAAAAGCAUCACAUGAAUGUUCCAGAGCAGCAUAAUCCAUUAGAUAGCAGAAAAACAAAAUGUGGUAUACAAGCAAAUUGUAUAUCUAAACAAAUACAUACUAAUAGAUGUAUAUAAACAAAACAUGGUACAUAAACAAAAUGAAUGAUAAACAAAAUGUGGCAUAUACACACAAUGAAAUAUUAUUCAGCUAUAAAAAAGAAUAAAGUUCUGACAUAUGCUAUAACAUGGAUGAACCUUGAAGGCAUUGUGCUAAGUGAAAUACGCCAGAAGCAAAAGGACAAAUAUUGUAUGAUUCCACUUAUACAAAAUAUUUGGAAUAGGCAAAUUCAGAGACUGAAAGUAGAUUAGAGGUUACCAAGGGCAAAAAGGAGAAGGAGACAAAUGUACUAUACUAAUUCAAGAUAUUAACAAUAGGGAAAACUGGUCGGGCUCGGUGGCUCAGGCCUGUAAUCCCAGCACUUUGGGAGGCCGAGGCGGGCGGAUCACGAG